UGAAGUUUCUGAAAAGUAGUACAGCAGGCAAAGAAAAUCUGCAGGAGACAGCAGAAGGAAAAGCAAUUAUUCUGAAUAAUCUACACAUAAAAAAUAUGAUUUUGUUUGAUAUUUACCACCCCUUCAAUUCUGAGGAGCAAUUACUUCCAAAUGAGGCAUGUAUGCUGAGUUGUUCUUUGACUCAUCUACAAAGGUAUUGAAAAAAGGCCUCAUAUGUCCGCUCUAGAAUUGUACAGUUCUCCCACUAAUGGCAUGAGUUAGUCUAAUACAGAAAUGGAUUAUUAAUGAACAACCUAGCCUUACAUUUAAAUUUACCUUUGACAAUUAAUCAUAAUUGGAAAUAAACAUG
rnacentral:antisense_RNA from 1 species